rnacentral:ncRNA from 1 species
UUUUUUUUAGAUAUACCUUCAGUCCAAACUUAUAAGCUUAGUAUGUGUAUUAGUUAGCCUAUAUACUUAAGUAUUUGUUUUUUGAGUUUUCGCUUUAAUAUCUUUUUUCAUUCCUAUAUGAUUAUUGUAUUUUUAGUUAGUAUAUUUGAUGCUCAUAUAGCGGCCCGUGGAUAUAAAAGUGACACUUACACUUGAAAAAAAUCCAAAAUAUUUGGAAACCUAGAAGCGAAGCUGAACCUCAACAGGUCGUGGACGUAAUGCCACUCCACUGCUUACAGUACCUUCGUUCACACAAUGUCUUCUACAUUGGGAGAGCCCAACUGUUUAAUAAAAACGUAGUGUCGCGCUGUGGUAGUAUAGCCAGUGAACGCGACAUGAAUCCUGCUCAGUGCUGUGUCUGUUAAUAUGGUUCAAGCCAACGAAGCACCGGUAAAUAGCUGGGGUAACUAUGACUCUUAUCAAAGUAGCGAAAUACCUCGUCACUUAAUUAGUGACCUGCAUGAACGGAGCUAUGAGGUUCUCACUGUCCCAAACUGUCUCUCAGCGAACCAACUGUAGUGGGAACGGUCACUAGAUAUCCAGCGGGGAAAGAAGACCCUGUAGAGCUUCACUUUGGUCUAGUCUUGUAUAGUUCCUGCGGGGGUGUAGACUAGGUGGGAGAGCAAUCGAUUCUGAAAAACCACUACCCUGUUUGGAAUUAUGCUUACCUAUCACAAGGAAUAGGACUAGAUAGAAAGUUUGGCUGGGGCGGCACACCUUCGAAAGAGCAGCGAAGGUGUCCUAAGUUGAGCUCAGUGAGGACAGAAAUCUCACGUUGAGGAUAAGGCCAAAAGCUCAAUUUACUGUGCCUUUUUGUACUAGGAUCAGUUACGAAAGUAAGGCCUAACGAUCCCUAAAUAGCCUCAGGUGCGUGAGGAUUGGGGUGACAGACAAGUUACCUCCGGGACAACU